CCUACGGGGAGCAGCAGUGAGGAAUAUUGGUCAAUGGACGAGAGUCUGAACCAGCCAAGUAGCGUGAAGGAUGACUGCCCUAUGGGUUGUAAACUUCUUUUAUAUGGGAAUAAAAUGUUCCACGUGUGGGAUUUUGUAUGUACCAUAUGAAUAAGGAUCGGCUAACUCCGUGCCAGCAGCCGCGGUAAUACAGAGGAUCCAAGCGUUAUCCGGAUUUAUUGGGUUUAAAGGGAGCGUAGGUGGAUUGUUAAGUCAGUUGUGAAAGUUUGCGGCUCAACCGUAAAAUUGCAGUUGAAACUGGCAGUCUUGAGUACAGUAGAGGUGGGCGGAAUACGUGGUGUCGCGGUGAAAUGCUUAGAUAUCACGAAGAACUCCGAUUGCGAAGGCAGUUCACUGGACUGCAACUGACACUGAGGCUCGAAAGUGUGGGUAUCAAACAGGAUUAGAUACCCCGGUAGUC
rnacentral:rRNA from 1 species